AUUACCACAGGAACUGUGGAACCCAAAAUUCCUUAUUUCUUUCCUGCUGGUUUUUCUCUAAAACUUGUAUUGAAGAGUCCAAGUUCAAAUAUGAAUCUCAAAGCGGAACCAAGCAGAUAUUGAGUGGGAUUUUGAUGAAGGAAAGGUAUAAUCAUGUAUGAGGACUGCAGAAAAAUUGCGUGGCAAGUAUAGGGCAAUAUGUGGUCGGCCAAUGCUGCGAAUUCAUGCUGACCGGGACAGAAGAAAGCCAUGGCGAGGGUGGUUUUGAGCGUAUUAAUUACUGCAGUAAGGAUUCUAAUUAAUUUUAGGGUAGAAUUCUAAUUUGAUAAUUUUGAAGGGUAGUGGACCUAAUUUCCCCAAAGUUAAAUGGGUUAAGAUUAGGGAUGACAAUCGAGCUCGUCGGCUCAGAGCGCCAGUGACUUGGCCCAGAAAAAGCCCGAGUCGACUUGGAGGCAUCGGGCCAAGGUUUGGGCUGAGUUCCCAUUUUGGGGAGUUGGCAUGAGUCGACUCGACCCGUGUGGCUCGACCGACCUGUGAGCCCUUUAUAAAAAAAUAAAAAAUAAAAAUUUGGGUUAUAAAUCUGCUGUCAAACCUGCCCCUUUGGCAGCUAAACUACCUUAACCGGCAACUAUGAAGCAGCAGGUUAAGGUAGCAUCCGAGCUGCCUGUUUUGGCAGCUAUUUUGGCUGUCAAACAGGCAGCUAAUCUCCUCACAACAAGCAACUUAUCAAGCUUGGUAGCUAAAUUCUGUUGCCUGUUUGGCAACUAAGAAGGGAAUUUUUUUUUUUUUAAAAAAAAUUGAGAAAAUCGAGCCGGCUCAGCCUGGUAACACUCGAGCCUUAAAAUUUUGGCCGAGCUUUUGCUCUGCUCGGGCAAAAAAAAAGCUUGCCUUAAAAAAGCUCCAGUCGAGCCCAAGCCGGGAGUUUCGGCUCGUUGACACCCCUAGUCAAGAUUUAAAGCCAUCCAAAUUUUAAUAUAAAUGGGUCGGGUUGAACAUUUGGAUUUGGUUGUUGAUAAUUAUUUCACUCAUCAACCAAGCCUUAUGAAAUAUAUUCCAACAUUUAACAUCGUAACAUCAAAUUUAUUGGGUAUCAAAAUCCAAAACAUCCUAAUUUCGCUUUAUCAUGAUACAAUUCGAAUCCUCCAAUUUGAUAACGGGUCGAAAAUUUACGUGAAAAUAAUUAAUUAAAGCGGAUAUAAAGCAAAAAUUAUCCAAACUAAAAUUAG
rnacentral:lncRNA from 1 species